ACAGCACCAUCUCUCUAGCUGUAUCUUUCUGGGGAUUUGUUAUUGCUGGCUGUUUUCUCAUUAACAUGCAAGUACGCGAUCCCUCUCUGUGAAGAAGUGUUUACUGGAGCACUUCAUUGAUUCACUAGCCUUUGGUGCUCCAAAUGUUCCUUCUCGUGGGGUUUAUUUGGCCGAGUAGCAGUCCAAAGCUCAUGCGUCAUUAAAAAUAAAUGGCGAAAAAUGGUAGUGGAGCACGCACUGGAUCGUGAGAUAAAUGAGAACGGUCUCUUCUUGGGCUGGUGAUUACGCGGAGACUGAAUUAAACAAAUCUUAUGUCAACUUAAACGGCAAAUUUAAGUCAAUUUACCACAACUGCCAGAACUGUGGUCAUUCUUAGUUUGUCAACGUGAAUGGAAGAGACAGGUUUUUUAAUCGGGUGCACGAGACAGUUUUCUCACUCGAGCACAAAAACGUUGAACUGACUGGAGAAUCAGCGCGCGCAGGAAGUCUGACAGAACGCUUUCUGAGCACUUUGAAACUUGCCUGACAAAAACAACGGCAUUAUGUUGAACUAGGAUGUUCCGAAAACGUCACAAGGGUUUUUUACAACGUUGUUGCGGAGAAGGCUCGCAGAAUACGUAAUGAAUUCAGGUUACGUCAGAGAUCUGUGGGAAGUCAUCUUUCCAAACCAACACCUUUUUCCACACCAAUUCAGUGAACGCUACUGGGCUGCGAU